ACGGGAUUUUGAAAAACCUUAAUCAACGCGGGUGAAGCCGUGAGCGUCAUCUAGUGAAUAAAUAAUUU